rnacentral:tRNA from 1 species
AAAAAAUUAGUUAAAUUUAUAACAUUAACUUGUCAAGUUAAAAUUAUUAAUACUGCAUAAUAUUUUUUA